rnacentral:rRNA from 1 species
UACAGAGGGUGCAAGCGUUAAUCGGAAUUAUUGGGCGUAAAGAGCUUGUAGGCGGUUUGUCGCGUCUGCUGUGAAAAUCCGGGGCUCAACCCCGGACUUGCAGUGGGUACGGGCAGACUGGAGUGCGGUAGGGGAGACUGGAAUUCCUGGUGUAGCGGUGGAAUGCGCAGAUAUCAGGAGGAACACCGAUGGCGAAGGCAGGUCUCUGGGCCACUACUGACGCUGAGAAGCGAAAGCAUGGGGAGCGAACAGG